GAAUCUGGUGGCAGAGUGAUGGGGGAGGAGGAGCUGUCAGAGAUGACCAGCCUGGUGGUUGGUGGCCCAGACACCCGCUCUGUGGGGCACAUCCCAAGGAGGUCUCAGCCAGCCCCUUGCAGAUCUGCUGCCUGUUCAGGCCAUUGGAUCUCAUCCUCCUUCUCUGAACCUUUGGUUGUGCUCUCUCUCUGGCAUCAGUGCCUCACCCCUGUAAAUCCCUGCAGGCCAUGCUCCUGCCCUGGGAUCCUUCUCCCUCCCCACCUCAGUGUGCAGAAGACCAAGGCCUGAACAAGCAGGGAGGCUGGAGCCAGAGGGAAUGGCCCCUGGGAGCUGCAGAUCCCCAGCCAAGGUGAGUGCACCCUGCCCUCAGACUUGACCCACAUCAGCCAAACAGGGCAUUUCCAGAGAAAAAGAGGAUUGUCUAGGAGGCUGGCCAUCCCCUACUUAUGGAUUAUUUCUUUACAAAAAUAGGCAGGGAAUUGAAAACAGUAGUAACAACACUGGCCUGCUCUUUCCUGUGUUUUGAACUAAUUCUCAGCAUUUUGGCAUCACAAGCAGGAACUACUCCCUUCCC
rnacentral:lncRNA from 1 species